rnacentral:rRNA from 1 species
UACGUAGGGCGCAAGCGUUGUCCGGAAUUAUUGGGCGUAAAGAGCUCGUAGGCGGUCUGUCGCGUCGGUUGUGAAAACACAAGGCUCAACCUUGUGCCUGCAAUCGAUACGGGCAGACUAGAGUACUGCAGGGGAGACUGGAAUUCCUGGUGUAGCGGUGGAAUGCGCAGAUAUCAGGAGGAACACCGGUGGCGAAGGCGGGUCUCUGGGCAGUAACUGACGCUGAGGAGCGAAAGCAUGGGGAGCGAACAGG